rnacentral:rRNA from 1 species
UACGGGGGGGGCAAGCGUUGUUCGGAAUUACUGGGCGUAAAGGGCUCGUAGGCGGCCGCACAAGUCCGACGUGAAAUCCCACGGCUCAACCGUGGAACUGCGUCGGAAACUAGGUGGCUUGAAUCCAAGAGAGGGAUGCGGAAUUCCAGGUGUAGCGGUGAAAUGCGUAGAUAUCUGGAGGAACACCGGUGGCGAAGGCGGCAUCCUGGAUUGGUAUUGACGCUGAGGAGCGAAAGCCAGGGGAGCAAAC